GACGAACGCUGGCGGCGUGCUUAACACAUGCAAGUCGAACGAAGAGCGAUGGAAGCUUGCUUCUAUCAAUCUUAGUGGCGAACGGGUGAGUAACGCGUAAUCAACCUGCCCUUCAGAGGGGGACAACAGUUGGAAACGACUGCUAAUACCGCAUACGAUCUAAUCUCGGCAUCGAGGAUAGAUGAAAGGUGGCCUCUACAUGUAAGCUAUCACUGAAGGAGGGGAUUGCGUCUGAUUAGCUAGUUGGAGGGGUAACGGCCCACCAAGGCGAUGAUCAGUAGCCGGUCUGAGAGGAUGAACGGCCACAUUGGGACUGAGACACGGCCCAGACUCCUACGGGAGGCAGCAGUGGGGAAUCUUCCGCAAUGGACGAAAGUCUGACGGGAGCAACGCCGCGUGAGUGAUGACGGGCCC
rnacentral:rRNA from 1 species